CGGGCCUCCGCGCCUCGGAGUCGCUGGGGUGUCGGGGGUGACAGCCAGCCUGCUCCAGCCCUUUGGGCUUCCAAAGGGGAGGAGGGACGUGGAGAAAGAGAAGGAAACGCCCAACUUGUGUCCAGCUUGGCAGAGUGCUCCCCCAUCUGUUUAUUUCAGUGUCCCAUUUCUCUCACGGGCAAUUUGGGCCUCCGACCUCGAAGAAAAACUCGCAAGUGGCAAGGCCAGCGGGCUGGUCUUCGGGGACAGCGUCCCGUGUCGCGGCCGCCAGUCCACCCUGGAGGCCGCCAGCGCAACGGAGCGCGGGACGGGGAGCCCAAGCCGGGGUGGGUGGCGGCCCCGCACCUGUCCCGACAAGCAGGCUGCGGGGCCAAGUGCGGGCAGCCUGCGUCACGCGCCAGCCCCCGCCUCCCGCGGCCGGAUCCCGCGUGGCCGCGCCGAGUGGACGGCGCGGCCUCCAGUUAACCCGCGCGGCGCGGUGACCCUGUUGCCCCUGAGACCCCGGGGCACCCCAGUGGAAGCAGCCACGCAAACGGGCGAUGACCGCACAGAGGCAAACCCGCCACCCCAGACUCCGGCGUCAGGGGCAGGAGCCACCCACGGCUGGAGAAGUCGGCCAGGCCACCAUCCCCCACUAGCUGCCACCUCGCGCACUCUCCUCACUUUGACCUGCAGGAUAUGGGACUGCUGUCUCCAAAAAGUAACUUCUUCAAGGUCAGAAUCUUGGCAGUCUUCUUCCUGGUUGAAUCUUUAAAAAGAUAGGUAAGCUUUAGGAAGAAAGGGGGUUGGAGGCCACGCAGAAAGUACAUGCCAGGCAAAAGUGGGUGUUAGAGGGGAACCCCAAGUUUUCAGGCAGCCAGAGUGGGAGCAGCAGGCCAUGAAUGCAUUUUGUCCAUCCACUAUCAGAGGCACACAGCUUGGGGCUUACCUCUUUUGCACAAGCACAGUGAAAACUAUCUGUUGAUUCUGUAAUAUUAGAAGAAUUUUUUCAAUGAUUACAAUAGAAAAACAUCUGAACAUCUGUUAUUUUUAUGGCAAAGAAAUUUUUUUUAACGUAUUUUUUGAGAGACGGAGAGAGACAAAGCAGGAGCAGGGGAGGGGCAGAGAGAGGGAGGCAUAGAAUCCAAAGUAGGCUCCAGGCUCUGAGCUGUCACCACAGCCCUACACAGGGCUCGAACCCACAAACCUCGAGAUCAUGACCUGAGCCAAAGUUGGGCACUUAACCAACUGAGCCACCCAGGCGCCUGUGUGGCAAAAAAUGUUUAAUUUGAGGGCAUUUUCAUAGAGAUUUUUCUGAGACUUGCCAAGGUAUUAAAUGAGUGUUCUCUCUCUCUCUCUCUCUCUCUUCCUCUCUUCCUCCCCCUCCCUGCCCCCAGACACACAGAGAUGACUCUGGAGACCCAAGCUAUUGGUCAGUUUCAUUCUAAACUGCUGUUUAUAAAACCUAAGCAGCAUUAUUACACGUCAAUACCUGCUGGGUGCUCAUAGCCAACCUGCAAGGACUGUGGGAUGAGGCUCACCUGUGGCUACUGUAAAAACAGUAUAUGGCCUAUGCUAUGAUGGCGGAAAGUUAGAUUUGUAAGGAGGAUAAAUGGGUAUUUCCCAGUGGUGGAAUUUCAGAGGACUUCCUGGGGGGGGGGAAGCAUUGCUAGACCAUGAAGCACAGCCAAGGCUCCUGGAAGGCAGAGGCCCCUCAGAGCACUGGGACACAUAAGUUGAAAGGCACAGAGAUACAAAGCACCUGGGUGGCUCAGUUGGUUAAGUGUCUGACUUCAGCACAGGCCAUGGUCUCACAGCUUAUGGGUUCAGGCCCCACAUCAGGCUCUGUGCUGACAGCUCAGAGCCUGCAGCCUGCUUCAGAUUCUGUGUCUCCCUCUCUCUCUCUCUUCCCCUCCCCCGCUCAUACUCUGUCUCUGUCCAAAAUAAAUAAACAUUAGGGGCACCUGGGUGGCUGAGUCGGUUGGGCAUCCGACUUCAACUCAGGUCAGGAUCUCGCGGUCCGUGAGUUCGAGCCCUGCAUCGGGCUCUGGGCUGAUGGCUCAGAGCCUGGAGCCUGUUUCAGAUUCUGUGUCUCCCUCUCUCUGCCCCUCCUCCGUUCAUGCUCUGUCUCUCUCUGUCUCAAAAAUAAAUAAACGUUAAAAAAAAAUUU